rnacentral:rRNA from 1 species
GAUGAACGCUGGCGGCGUGCCUAAUACAUGCAAGUCGAGCGAACGGACGAGAAGCUUGCUUCUCUGAUGUUAGCGGCGGACGGGUGAGCAACACGUGGAUAACCUACCUAUAAGACUGGGAUAACUUCGGGAAACCGGAGCUAAUACCGGAUAAUAUUUUGAACCGCAUGGUUCAAAAGUGAAAGACGGUCUUGCUGUCACUUAUAGAUGGAUCCGCGCUGCAUUAGCUAGUUGGUAAGGUAACGGCUUACCAAGGCAACGAUGCAUAGCCGACCUGAGAGGGUGAUCGGCCACACUGGAACUGAGACACGGUCCAGACUCCUACGGGAGGCAGCAGUAGGGAAUCUUGCGCAAUGGGCGAAAGCCUGACGGAGCAACGCCGCGUGAGUGGUGAAGGUCUUCGGAUCGUAAAACUCUGUUAUUAGGGAAGAACAUAUGUGUAAGUAACUGUGCACAUCUUGACGGUACCUAAUCAGAAAGCCACGGCUAACUACGUG